rnacentral:rRNA from 1 species
CAGCAGCCACGGGAACACGUAGGGUGCAAGCGUUAAUCGGAAUUACUGGGCGUAAAGCGUGCGCAGGCGGUUAUAUAAGACAGAUGUGAAAUCCCCGGGCUCAACCUGGGAACUGCAUUUGUGACUGUAUAGCUAGAGUACGGCAGAGGGGGAUGGAAUUCCGCGUGUAGCAGUGAAAUGCGUAGAUAUGCGGAGGAACACCGAUGGCGAAGGCAAUCCCCUGGGCCUGUACUGACGCUCAUGCACGAAAGCGUGGGGAGCAAACAGGAUUAGAUACCCCCGUAGUCCCUGUCUCUUAUAC